rnacentral:rRNA from 1 species
UUAAGUCAGGCAACGAGCGAGACCCACGCCCACAGUUGCCAGCGUACUCUCUGGAGUGACGGGUACACUGCGGGGACCGCCGCUGCUAAAGCGGAGGAAGGAAUGGGCAACGGUAGGUCAGUAUGCCCCGAAUGUCCCGGGCUACACGCGGGCUACAAUGGUUGGUACAAUGGGUAUCUACCCCGAAAGGGGAUGGAAAUCUCCUAAAGCCAAUCUUAGUUCGGAUCGAGGGCUGCAACUCGCCCUCGUGAAGCUGGAAUCCGUAGUAAUCGCGUUUCAAUAGAACGCGGUGAAUACGUCCCUGCUCCUUGCACA